rnacentral:tRNA from 1 species
CCUCAGCUAACUCAGUCCGUAGAGCAUGAGACUCUUAAUCUCAGGGUUGUGGGUUCGUGACCCACAUUGGGGG